ACCUACGGGGCGCAGCAGUGGGGAAUAUUGCACAAUGGGGGAAACCCUGAUGCAGCGACGCCGCGUGAGUGAGGAAGUAUUUCGGUAUGUAAAGCUCUAUCAGCAGGGAAGAAAAUGACGGUACCUGACUAAGAAGCCCCGGCUAACUACGUGCCAGCAGCCGCGGUAAUACGUAGGGGGCAAGCGUUAUCCGGAUUUACUGGGUGUAAAGGGAGCGUAGACGGAAUUGCAAGUCUGAUGUGAAAACCCGGGGCCCAACCCCGGGAGUGCAUUUGAAACUGCCAUGCUGGAGUGCCGGAGAGGUA
rnacentral:rRNA from 1 species